rnacentral:tmRNA from 1 species
GGGGCUGACUUGGAUUUCGACAGAUUUUUUGUCGCACAGACAGCAUGCCAAGCGCUGCUUGUAAAACAGCAACAAAAAUAACUGUAAACAACACAGAUUACGCUCCAGCUUACGCUAAAGCUGCGUGAGUUAAUCUCCUUUGGAGCUGGACUGAUUAGAAUUUCUAGCGUUUUAAUCACUCCAUAACCUUAAGCUAGACGCUUUUAAAAGGUGGUUCGCCUUUUAAACUAAGAAACAAGAACUCUUGAAACUACCUCAAGGUUUUAGAAAGUUGGACCAGAGCUAGUUUUAAGGCUAAAAAACCAACCAAUUUUCUAAGCAUUGUAGAAGUUUGUGUUUAGGACAAGAUUUUUGGACUGGGGUUCGAUUCCCCACAGCUCCACCA